GUGUCAUCAUAUCUAAUGAGGACUGAGGUCCGUAUCGGUAGUCAGGGUGUAGUGUCAUCAUAUCUAAUGAGGACUGAGGUCCGUAUCGGUAGUCAGGGUGUAGUGUCAUCAUAUCUAAUGAGGACUGAGGUCCGUAUCGGUAGUCAGGGUGUAGUGUCAUCAUAUCUAAUGAGGACUGAGGUCCGUAUCGGUAGUCAGGGUGUAGUGUCAUCAUAUCUAAUGAGGACUGAGGUCCGUAUCGGUAGUCAGGGUGUAGUGUCAUCAUAUCUAAUGAGGACUGAGGUCCGUAUCGGUAGUCAGGCUGUAGUGUCAUCAUAUCUAAAGAGGACUGAGGUCCGUAUCGGUCAUCAGGGUGUAGUGUCAUCAUAUCUAAUGAGGACUGAGGUCCGUAUCGGUAGUCAGGGUGUAG